UACGAAGGGGGCUAGCGUUGCUCGGAAUCAUUGGGCGUAAAGCGUACGCAGGCUGUUCGUUAAGUCGGGUGUGAAAGCCCGGGGCUCAACCCCGGAAAUGCGCCCGAAACUGGCGAGCUUGAGUGCGGGAGAGGGAAGCGGAAUUCCUGGUGUAGAGGUGAAAUUCGUAGAUAUCAGGAGGAACACCGGUGGCGAAAGCGGCUUCCUGGCCCCGACACUGACGCUCAUGUACGAAAGCGUGGGGAGCAAACAGG
rnacentral:rRNA from 1 species